rnacentral:rRNA from 1 species
GAUGAACGCUGGCGGCGUGCCUAAUACAUGCAAGUCGAGCGAACGGACGAGAAGCUUGCUUCUCUGAUGUUAGCGGCGGACGGGUGAGUAACACGUGGAUAACCUACCUAUAAGACUGGGAUAACUUCGGGAAACCGGAGCUAAUACCGGAUGAUAUUUUGAACCGCAUGGUUCAAAAGUGAAAGACGGUCUUGCUGUAACUUAUAGAUGUAUCCGCGCUGCAUUAGCUAGUUGGUAAGGUAACGGCUUACCAAGGCAACGAUGCAUAGCCGACCUGAGAGGGUGAUCGGCCACACUGGAACUGAGACACGGUCCAGACUCCUACGGGAGGCAGCAGUAGGGAAUCUUCCGCAAUGGGCGAAAGCCUGACGGAGCAACGCCGCGUGAGUGAUGAAGGUCUUCGGAUCGUAAAACUCUGUUAUUAGGGAAGAACAUAUGUGUAAGUAACUGUGCACAUCUUGACGGUACCUAAUCAGAAAGCCACGGCUAACUACGUG